rnacentral:rRNA from 1 species
GAUGAACGCUGGCGGCGUGCCUAAUACAUGCAAGUCGAGCGAAUGGAUUGAGAGCUUGCUCUUAUGAAGUUAGCGGCGGACGGGUGAGUAACACGUGGGUAACCUGCCCAUAAGACUGGGAUAACUCCGGGAAACCGGGGCUAAUACCGGAUAACAUUUUGAACCGCAUGGUUCGAAAUUGAAAGGCGGCUUCGGCUGUCACUUAUGGAUGGACCCGCGUCGCAUUAGCUAGUUGGUGAGGUAGCGGCUCACCAAGGCAACGAUGCGUAGCCGACCUGAGAGGGUGAUCGGCCACACUGGGACUGAGACACGGCCCAGAAUCCUACGGGAGGCAGCAGUAGGGAAUCUUCCGCAAUGGACGAAAGUCUGACGGAGCAACGCCGCGUGAGUGAUGAAGGCUUUCGGGUCGUAAAACUCUGUUGUUAGGGAAGAACAAGUGCUAGUUGAAUAAGCUGGCACCUUGACGGUACCUAACCAGAAAGCCACGGCUAACUACGUGCCAGCCGCCGCGGUAA